rnacentral:lncRNA from 13 species
GUUCCUUUUGAAGCUAUCCAAAAACCUCAAUUCUAGAUGCAUGCCUCACUCUUCUCCCUCCAUUCCAAGAGAGAAGCCACCAGUUGGACUCCUCUAGAUUAUGCUGAGCUAUACCUUAUCUGUAGCACUAUAACUGUAGACCUAUACCUGUAGACUCUCUCAUUUGUAGCACUGUAUCUAUAGAACCUCUGAUGCUUCGAAAAGCCACCUUUGCUUUCAGCAGCCUGGAGAUAUCCAAACCAUGCUGAUUUCGUUAGUGCUUGGAAUCAGGCAAACAGAACCCUGCCCCUCAAGGUAGCCCUAGAUAAAAGCUACAAUGUUGAAUGCUUAUUUCACUAUUUUCUACUCCCUAGUCCAGAAGCCACAAACUGAGCUGUGCUGUGUGGGCUUGUGGAAGGGAUAAUUGUAGAUAAAAUUAAACAGCUCUUCUCACCUAUUUCAAUGCAGCUAUUCUGAGCUCUGUAUUUCCCUGGCAUACUGCAAAUUCUUUCCUGGUUCCUAGAAUCCCAUAAAGAUUUUUUUUGGUCUGUACAUUUUUGUUAAUUGACUGUCUGUGAAGGAACCUGGGCUGGGACUUUUUAUUCUAUCAUCUUGCUGCUACAGCUUCACCUGGUUUCUGCUACUGAGUCUGUCUGGUACAUACUUCUAUGAGAAUCCUCAAAAGGUGCUCUCCUGACAAGACUGCCAGUGAGUUACACCAUUGAAAAAAAAAAAAAAAAAGACAUACAAAUGGCCGGACAGUUUGCUGAGGAUAACGGCUUCCAGCUCCAUCCACAUCCCUGCAAAGGAUAUUAUCCUGUUCCUCUUUAUGGCUGCAUAGCGUUCCAUGAGCCCAGCUUGUCCAGCAGAGGCCAUUGUGGAGCUCCAUGGGAAGAAUCACACUGUAUCAUAUUUUCAUGGAAGAGGCAGCAAUGUGUCUUCUAGAAGGUACUUAUAUUAUCUGGGUAAACAUGUAUCUUCAGUGCUGAAAACAUGUUUUCCAACACCAUAAGCGUUAGAACUAGAGAUGACAAUUGAAUUUUCACCUGUCCAAUUAUAUGGUAGCUAGUAGUAAUUUUUAUAUUCAUAGUAAUAAGAAUAAAGUUUUCUUCAAUUGAAGGAAGAGACUGAAU